rnacentral:snoRNA from 1 species
CCUUGCAUCUCUCCCAUGCAUCAUAGAGUGUUUCUAAAUCCAUCUGCACAAAAGAAGAGAUAUCAUUACGUAAUUU